AUGGCGGACGAAGUAGACCAGCAACAAACUACCAACACUGUAGAGGAGCCCCUGGAUUUUAUCAGGCUCAGCCUAGGUGAGAGAAUUUAUGUGAAAAUGAGAAAUGACCGAGAGCUUCGAGGCAGAUUACCAUGCUUAUGAUCAACAUUUAAAUAUGAUCUUGGGAGACAUGGAAGAAACUGUGACUACUAUAGAAAUUGAUGAAGAAACAUAUGAAGAGAUAUAUAAACCAAUGAAAUGGAAUAUUCCAAUGCUUUUUGUCCAGGGAGAUGUCGUUGUCCUGGUUGCCCCUCCACUGAGAGUUGG
rnacentral:lncRNA from 1 species